rnacentral:lncRNA from 1 species
UUUCUUUUUUAUCUGCUUUAUUCUCAUCAGAAGAUGAUCCAUACAAAAUCUUCUUUGUUUUACAUAUGCGUAUAUACAAACGUGAUAUUACAAAAUAAUAGAUCAUGUCUAUGCCUUAUUAAAAAAUAUCUAAUAUUUUGAGAUAUAUAGUUUUUAAACACUGUGAAAAUCCAUGAACAAGACAUUAGAAAAAAAUUUCAUAAAAUAUUUUGGUUCUUCUGCACAUUUGUAAAAUUAUAGAGUCAAUAUAUUUGUAACUAGAAACUUUGUGUAUUUUUUUCUUCAGACUUUGUACGUGUAAAUGGAAGAAAACAGUUGAAACUAGCAUUCAAUAAUUUAAAUUUUAAAAUCCUACCACUGAAGACUUGGAUUAAACUGUCCAAGGCAGGAGUCAGAAACAAUCAGGUAACCAGCGAAACAAAGUUGCCAUUUGACUUUGAAAACAGAUGUAGCAUGUUGCCUCCCAGGUGUAACUUCUGUAAACUUGUUCAGCAUCUCUUGUUAAGUACCCUCAAAUCUGUCCUUAGAUUGUUGCUCAGAAAUUUUCCCUCCUCCCUGUGUCAUAUGCCAUCAAUGGUGGAGAGAGCCAAGUUCUGUCCCAGAAGAUUUCUAUAAAAGGGUCAGCUGGAUUGUUGGAGCUGUCAUGUAGCAAUUUGGAAAGCCCUCCCUGCUAGUAACUUUGUUGGAAUUAUUAGCGUCACAGGCGUAAUUGGGGAGCAAUUGUUUCAAUCUGACCCACGUCAGAAUGACAGAAAAUCCCAUGGUACAGGAAAGGCCUUCUUAGUCAUUGUUUGGUUAAGGUAUAUUAAGUUGUGCCUUUGUCUUCUUAGCUCCUUUUUGUAAGUUCGUUCCUUUUCACAGGUAAACGUCUAGAAACAAGAUGUUAUUUACUUCGUAGGAAUGUGUUCCCAAUGUCGGAUUCAGCUGUGGCUUCUCUUUAAGACAAAUAGGCCUCUGGCAAGUGGAAACAUUAACAAGCUGGUUUUGAGAAGAAGCUUUUGAACUCCUGGCAAGU